CCUCAGUGCCAGAGAGAUAGGCUGCCUUAACCCCUUCCUGCCCUCCCACCGCCUCAGAGAGAAGCCUGCUGUGGAGAAGGAGACAGACUCUCUGGGUCUAAGAACUACGGUCCCCAGGAGAAUUUUCAGUCAACGUGGAAAUGCCAAGGAGGAUGAGGAGGGAUUAUAUUUCAAAGCAUGAAAUGUGGAAAAGUCAACUUCUAAAGGCCCAGGAUGGAGGUGGAGGCAAUGACCUUGGGAACGUCCCAAGACACUUGUAGCCAAUUAAACUGUCACCCCAGAUGAGGUCAGUAGCCUGGGGCUUGUCAUCGUAAAAGAUUUUGAUCCAAUGGAUUUGAAGGAAGCAGUCCAUUACUGGGGGUAGAUGUUACUGGCUAUUCUUUACAUCCUACAGUAGAAGAAACUUUGGUUCGAGGAUACUUUGGGUAAUUACUGAGCUCUAUUAAAGAGGCAGUAACAUAGCAGAUUUUUCUGAAAAUGAUCAGUGGUGUGGAGUGAUCAGGGAUCAUUUCCUGUAGCAGUUGGAGAAAAUCCAUUUUAACAUUUAAUCUCUGCUACCGGUUCCCACAUCAAAUAUACUGCUCAUUGAUGCUAUAACAAGAUGGUAAUUAAUAUGCAAUUAAGCCAGCAUUACUAGGGAAUUACCAUGUGGUUUUUAAAUUAACUUGACUUAGCAGUUUUUAUAUUUAUUGGCUGUGCCAGCGCAUGUUUUCCUCCUGGAAUGUUUGUGAAUGCACUGCAUGAUGCCAGUAGUCAUGAAAAUCAGACAAAAUGCUAGACUCUCACAUUAGCAUGACCCACCUAGGAAUGGCAUGUGUAUAAAAUAGAUAUGUUUUAGGAGGUUGUUAGUAGAAGGUAGAAGAACCUCUUGUAAGUUAUAUGUCAGUACCUUGUUAAACAUCUCUUCCAUAUCUCAUUUAAUCCUUACUUCAACACUGUGGGGUCAGACUAUUAGUGUUCCCAUUUUACAGAUCAGGAAACUGAAGCACUUGCCCAAGGUCAUGAAGCUAGGAAAUGACAGAGGCGGGAUUUGAUUCCAACCAGUGGACUCUCAAGUUCACGUUAAAUGCCUCUGUCCUUACUAUGUUCUUUAACAAGGGCCCCUGAAGGUUAUACACUGUAAAAUGGGAACACUAAUAGUCUGACCCCAUAGUGUUGAAGUAAGGAUUAAAUGAGAUAUGGAAGAGAUGUUUAACAAGGUACUGACAUAUAACUUAUAAGAGUCAUGCAGGAAAGUGAAGCCGGGUACUUGAAGGGUAC
rnacentral:lncRNA from 1 species